rnacentral:rRNA from 1 species
GAUGAACGCUAGCGGGAGGCCUAACACAUGCAAGCCGAGCGGUAUUGUUUCUUCGGAAAUGAGAGAGCGGCGUACGGGUGCGGAACACGUGUGCAACCUGCCUUUAUCUGGGGGAUAGCCUUUCGAAAGGAAGAUUAAUACUCCAUAACAUAUUGAACGGCAUCGUUUGAUAUUGAAAGCUCCGGCGGAUAGAGAUGGGCACGCGCAAGAUUAGCUAGUUGGUGAGGUAACGGCUCACCAAGGCGAUGAUCUUUAGGGGGCCUGAGAGGGUGAUCCCCCACACUGGUACUGAGACACGGACCAGACUCCUACGGGAGGCAGCAGUGAGGAAUAUUGGUCAAUGGGUGCAAGCCUGAACCAGCCAUCCCGCGUGAAGGACGACUGCCCUAUGGGUUGUAAACUUCUUUUGUAUAGGGAUAAACCUACCCUCGUGAGGGUA